GCCAGGCAGGGUGGUGCAUGCCUGUAGUCCCAGCUACUUGGGAGGAUGAGGUGGGAGGAUCGCUUGAGCCCAGGAGUUCUGGGCUGUGGUCGCUAUGCCAAUCAGGUGUCCGCACUAAGUUCAGCCUCAAUAUGGUGACCUCCCUGGAGCAGGGGACCACCAGGUUGCCUAAGGAGGGGUGAACCGGCCCAGGUCAGAAACAGAGCAGGUCAAAACUCCCGUACUGAUCAGUAGUGGGAUCGCACCUGUGAAUAGCCACUGCACUCCGGCCUGGGCAACGUAGCAAGACCCCAUCUC
rnacentral:SRP_RNA from 1 species